UCCCUGGUGGUCUAGUGGUUAGGAUGCAGCACUCUCACCACUGCGACCCGGGUUUGUUUCCCAGUCUGGGAA
rnacentral:tRNA from 1 species